rnacentral:rRNA from 1 species
UGUAGCGGUGAAAUGCGUAGAUAUAUGGAGGAACACCGGUGGCGAAAGCGGCUCUCUGGUCUGUAACUGACGCUGAGGCUCGAAAGCGUGGGGAGCAAACAGGAUUAGAUACCCUGGUAGUCCACGCCGUAAACGAUGAGUGCUAGGUGUUAGGCCCUUUCCGGGGCUUAGUGCCGGAGCUAACGCAUUAAGCACUCCGCCUGGGGAGUACGACCGCAAGGUUGAAACUCAAAGGAAUUGACGGGGGCCCGCACA